rnacentral:tRNA from 1 species
ACCUGGCUGGCUCAGUCCGUAGAGCAUGCAAAUCUUGAUCUUGGAGUUGUAGGUUCAAAUCCCAUGUUGGGUG